rfam:Macrostomum lignano uti_cns_0005916, whole genome shotgun sequence.
GUCAGGGUAGCCUACUGGUCGAAGGCGCCAGACUCAAGGGUGCAACCAUGGCUGGCCCAACAAAAUUUCCUACUAAAAAUUCGCUGGGCUGGCUGAGGUUCGCUGAGCAUUCUGGUAUCCGAAAGGAUGCGUGGGUUCAAUUCCCACCUCUGACC